rnacentral:siRNA from 1 species
GGCACACAAAUUGAGGAAUCGCC